CCUCGCCCUUAGUUGCCAUCAUUCAGUUGGGCACUCUAAGGGGACUGCCGGUGAUAAUGCCGAGAGGAACGUGGGGAUGACGUCAAGUCCUCAUGGCCCUUACGGGCUGGGCUACACACGUGCUACAAUGGUGGUGACAGUGGGCAGCGAAACCGCGAGGUCGAGCUAAUCUCCAAAAGCCAUCUCAGUUCGGAUUGCACUCUGCAACUCGAGUGCAUGAAGUUGGAAUCGCUAGUAAUCGCGGAUCAGAAUGCCGCGGUGAAUACGUUCCCGGGCCUUGUACACACCGCCCGUCACACCAUGUGGAGUUGGUUUUACCCGAAGGCGCUGUGUUAACCGCAAGGAGGCAGGCGACCACGGUCAGGGUCUAGCGACUGGGGUGAAGUCGUAACAAGGUGAGCCGUCAGGGGAACCUGCC
rnacentral:rRNA from 1 species